rnacentral:snoRNA from 1 species
AAGACUGUACUUUCAGGAAUCAUUUCUAUAGUUCAUUACUAGAGAAAAGAUAUUUUUAAAAAAGGAGAAAAAACCUGAGUUUGUAGAAUCAUGGU